GGGAGGGAGUGACUAGUGACAGAGUGAGGGAGUGGGUGACACAGUGACAGAGUUAGGGAGGGAGUGACUAGUGACAGAGAGAGGGAUGGGGUGACUAGUGACAGUCACCCCCUCCCUCUGUCACUAGUCACUCCCUCCCUCUCUCUGUUACUAGUCACUCCCUCACUCUGUCACCAGUCAUCCCCUCACUCUGUCACCAGUCAUCCCCUCACUCUGUCACCAGUCACCCCUUCCCUCCCUCACUCUGCCACUAGUCAUUUUUUCCCUCCC